GUUUUGUUGACAGAGCGGUACUGAAUGAAAUCGUUUAUUUCGUUAAUUAAUUUGUGUUUUUUUUCGUUUACAAGAUAAAUUUCAUGAUGACGUAAAAACAAUAUCGAUCAUUAUAAUAAUACGUAAUUUCGCAUUUUUCCUUAAAAGAUGCAGAAUUUCCUCCCGAUGGCACUUUUACAUUUAAAACACUUUCAGAAAUGCUCAACAGUUCACCCC